CUUCCUUUCAAAACUCAUUAGUGGCAUUUAUCCUCAUUUGAAUGAGAAGAAGCCACAAAGAUUUCAACUGGAGGUUCACUCAGCAGGCCCCAGCAAUUCCCACCAAGCCUUCACACACCAUCAAUCGUUCUCUUUCAUAUGGCGUUGAAUUGGAAAAUUCUUUUCUAUUCCCAUGUCACGGGCUACUCCAGGAGCUUAGCAACUCGAGUGGUUGCCCUGGAAGAGGACUCCACCCUCCCUAACUAAGACCAAUGGGGAGCUGAAGAUAAACAGACUGAAAGAAGGUAUUUUCUGAAGCUUAAUAGAAACUUACAACAGGAUUAACAAUGAAUUGAAAAGGGGGCAGCUACAAAGCAGGUCAAUGUCUGAAGGUCAAGCAAAAGGAACAAAGUGAAACAAAUACCAGUAAAAUGAGAGGAAAAAUCUUCUCCUCUUGUUUGGCAAAGCUUGGACUAGAAAUGGCCCCUCUGGCAAAGAUUUCUUGGGACCUAAAGUCAACUAGUGAUGC
ensembl:lncRNA